rnacentral:rRNA from 1 species
UUGCCCCGAGAUGAGUUCUCCCUGAGACUUUAAGUCUCCUGAAGGAACGUUAAAGACGAUGACGUUGAUAGGCCGGGUGUGUAAGCGCAGCGAUGCGUUGAGCUAACCGGUACUAAUGAACCGUGAGGCUUAACCUU